UACGAAGGGGGCUAGCGUUGCUCGGAAUCACUGGGCGUAAAGGGCGCGUAGGCGGCCAUUCAAGUCGGAGGUGAAAGCCCAGGGCUCAACUCUGGAAUUGCCUUCGAUACUGUCUGGCUAGAGACCGGAAGAGGUAAGUGGAACUGCGAGUGUAGAGGUGAAAUUCGUAGAUAUUCGCAAGAACACCAGUGGCGAAGGCGGCUUACUGGUCCGGUUCUGACGCUGAGGCGCGAAAGCGUGGGGAGCAACAGG
rnacentral:rRNA from 1 species